GACGGGUCCCCGCACAAGCAGCGGAGCGUGUGGUUUAAUUCGUUGCUACACGAAGAACCUUACCUGGGUUUGACAUAGCAGUGGUAGGGAAGAGAAAUCGGACCGACCCUUCGGGGAGCUGUUACAGGUGUUGCAUGGCUGUCGUCAGCUCGUGUCGUGAGAUGUUCGGUUAAGUCCGCUAACGAGCGCAACCCGCGUUGUGUGUUAUAUGUGUCACACAAUACCGCCGGUAUUAAGCCGGAGGAAGGUGCGGAUGACGUCAAGUCAGCAUGACCUUUAUAUCCAGGGCUACACACACGCUACAAUGGACAGUACAACAGGUUGCCAAGCCGCGAGGCGGAGCCAAUCCUCUAAAGCCGUCCUCAGUUCAGAUUGCAGGCUGCAACUCGCCUGCAUGAAGUUGGAGUUGCUAGUAACCGCAGGUCAGCUAUACUGCGGUGAAUACGUUCCCGGGGAUU
rnacentral:rRNA from 1 species